rnacentral:rRNA from 1 species
AAAGUCCCCUUCGGGGGAUAAGUAAAGUGGCGCACGGGUGAGUAACACGUAGGUAAUCUACCUUCGGGUGGGGAAUAACCCAGGGAAACUUGGGCUAACACCGCAUAAUGCAGCGGCACCACAUGGUGACAGUUGUUAAAGCGGGGGAUUUUCGGACCUCGCGCCUGAAGAGGAGCCUGCGGCGGAUUAGCUAGUUGGUAAGGUAACGGCUUACCAAGGCAACGAUCCGUAGCCGGCCUGAGAGGGCGGUCGGCCACACUGACACUGACAUACGGGUCAGACUCCUACGGGAGGCAGCAGUCGGGAAUUUUGGGCAAUGGGCGAAAGCCUGACCCAGCAACGCCGCGUGAAGGAUGAAAUCCCUCGGGAUGUAAACUUCGCAAGAAUAGGAAGAAUUAGUAGGGGCUAAUACCCCCUAUGAUGACGGUACUAUUUGUAAGCUCCGGCUAACUCCGUGCCAGCAGCCGCGGUAAUACGGGGGGAGCAAGCGUUGUUCGGAUUUACUGGGCGUAAAGGGCGCGUAGGCGGUCAGCACAAGUCAGUUGUGAAAUCUCCGGGCUUAACUCGGAAAGGUCAACUGAUACUGUGCGACUAGAGUGCGGAAGGGGCAACUGGAAUUCUCGGUGUAGCGGUGAAAUGCGUAGAUAUCGAGAGGAACACCUGCGGCGAAGGCGGGUUGCUGGGCCGACACUGACGCUGAUGCGCGAAAGCCAGGGGAGCGAACGGGAUUAGAUACCCCGGUAGUCCUGGCCUUAAACGAUGGAUGCUUGGUGUCUGGGGUUUUAUAGUCCCCCGGUGCCG